GACGAACGCUGGCGGCGUGCUUAACACAUGCAAGUCGAACGGAGUGGCGAACGGGUGAGUAACACGUGGGUGACAUGCCCUGCACUUCGGGAGAAGCCUGGGAAACAGGGUCUCAUAACGGAUAGUGUGGGAUGGGACCGCGGCCUAUCAGCUUGUGGGUGGGGUAAUGGCCAACCAAGGCGGCGACGGGGAGCCGGCCUGAGAGGGUGGAAGGCCACAGUGGGACUGAGACACGGCCCAGACUCCUACGUGAGGAAGCAGUGGGGAAUAUUGCACAAUGGUCGGAAGCCUGAUGCAGCGACGCCGCGUGGGGGAUGACGGCCUUCGGGUUGUAACCUCCUUUCACCAGCGACGCGGUAGAUGGAGAAGAAGCACCGGCUAACUACGUGCCAGCAGCCGCGGUAAUAC
rnacentral:rRNA from 1 species